CCUACGGGAGGCAGCAGUGGGGAAUAUUGCACAAUGGGCGCAUGCCUGAUGCAGCCAUGCCGCGUGUGUGAAGAAGGCCCUCGGGUUGUAAAGCACUUUCAGCGGGGAGGAAGGCGGUGAGGUUAAUAACCUCAUCGAUUGACGUUACCCGCAGAAGAAGCACCGGCUAACUCCGUGCCAGCAGCCGCGGUAAUACGGAGGGUGCAAGCGUUAAUCGGAAUUACUGGGCGUAAAGCGCACGCAGGCGGUCUGUCAAGUCGGAUGUGAAAUCCCCGGGCUCAACCUGGGAACUGCAUUCGAAACUGGCAGGCUAGAGUCUUGUAGAGGGGGGUAGAAUUCCAGGUGUAGCGGUGAAAUGCGUAGAGAUCUGGAGGAAUACCGGUGGCGAAGGCGGUCCCCUGGACAAAGACUGACGCUCAGGUGCGAAAGCGUGGGGAGCAAACAGGAUUAGAUACCCCGGUAGUC
rnacentral:rRNA from 1 species